rnacentral:snRNA from 1 species
AUACUUACCUGGCAGGGAGAUACCAUGAUCACGAAGGUGGUUUUCCCAGGGCGAGGCUUAUCUAUUGCACUCCGGAUGUGCUGACCCCUGCGAUUUCCCCAAAUGUGGGAAACUCGACUGCAUAAUUUGUGGUAGUGGGGGACUGCGUUCGCGCUUUCCCCUG